UCACCGUGGAGACCGGGGUUCGACUCCCCGCUUCGGAG
rnacentral:tRNA from 1 species